GCACAGGUGGUGAGCCUCCGCUAACUUAAGAACUCAUCCUAUUCUCAAUACAGAUUUCAACUCCAGCAACCAGUGGGAAAAUCAGCAUUAGCUCCUUGUGUAUUCUAAACUUGCCGGCAUCAUGAGCACAUCAGCUGGAGCCAUACAGAGAUAAUGGCAGCCAUACCAUGAACAUGCUCCUUGGGGCCAUUUUGAAUGGAGAAACAAGUCAGCUCAGUUAUGGUCACAUCCAUUUCUGAACAUCUCUCCUCCUUGCUUGGGCAAGGUAGGAAGGGGUGGCAUAAAAGCAGAAACUCAGUUCUGGCUGCCAACUUAAAUGCUCAGUUCGGCCAUGCAGUUAGCAAGUUAGCAGCCAUGGCCACCUUUGAGAGCAGAUCAGUGGACCAGCACACUUUUGAAGUCCUGAACAGCCACCAUGUUGUCAUCUUGAAGAGUAUGAUUCUUCCCAGGUAGGAUGUGGCAUCAUUUGUUUGCCCAUCAUUUCCUUGCCUGCCAGGUCAAGCGAGAUAUCUUCAGGAACCAGCAAUGAAUCAUGACUGGGGGAAGGUCCUUCCCCCGAAGGAGCCAUUUAAACAUGUUGCUUCUAACUGCUUCUUUUCAUAAAAGUGCAAUACCACCAGUA